AAAACCCCGACUUCGGGAGGGGUGUGUUUAUUAGAUAAAAAACCAACGCCCUUCGGGGCUCCUUGGUGAUUCAUGAUAACCUCUCAGAUCGCACGGCCUUGCGCCGGCGACGGUUCAUUCAAAUUUCUGCCCUAUCAACUUUCGAUGGUAAGGUAUUGGCUUACCAUGNUUUCAACGGGUAACGGGGAAUUAGGGUUCGAUUCCGNAGAGUGAGCCUGAGAAACGGCUCACACAUCCAAGGAAGGCAGCAGGCGCGCAAAUUACCCAAUCCCGACACGGGGAGGUAGUGACAAUAAAUACUGAUACAGGGCUCUUUUGGGUCUUGUAAUUGGAAUGAGUACAAUUUAAACCUCUUAACGAGGAACAAUUGGAGGGCAAGUCUGGUGCCAGCAGCCGCGGUAAUUCCAGCUCCAAUAGCGUAUAUUAAAGUUGUUGCAGUUAAAAAGCUCGUAGUUGAAUCUUUGGCCUGGCUGGCGGGUCCGCCUCACCGCGUGCACUUGUCCGGCCGGGCCUUCUCUUCUGGAGAACCGCAUGCCCUUCACUGGGCGUGUUGGGGACCAGGACUUUUACUUUGAAAAAAUUAGAGUGUUCAAAGCAGGCCUUUGCUCGAAUACGUUAGCAUGGAAUAAUAGAAUAGGACGUGCGGUCCUAUUUUGUUGGUUUCUAGGACCGCCGUAAUGAUUAAUAGGGACAGUCGGGGGCAUCAGUAUUCAAUUGUCAGAGGUGAAAUUCUUGGAUUUAUUGAAGACUAACUACUGCGAAAGCAUUUGCCAAGGAUGUUUUCAUUAAUCAGUGAACGAAAGUUAGGGGAUCGAAGACGAUCAGAUACCGUCGUAGUCUUAACCAUAAACUAUGCCGACUAGGGAUCGGGCGGUGUUAUCGAUUUGACCCGCUCGGCA
rnacentral:rRNA from 1 species